rnacentral:rRNA from 1 species
UACGUAGGGUGCGAGCGUUAAUCGGAAUUACUGGGCGUAAAGCGUGCGCAGGCGGUUCGUUGUGUCGGCGGUGAAAGCCCCGGGCUUAACCUGGGAAUGGCCGUCGAAACUGGCGAACUGGAGUGUGGCAGGAGGGGGGGUGGAAUUCCGCGUGUAGCAGUGAAAUGCGUAGAGAUGCGGAGGAACACCGAUGGCGAAGGCAGCCCCCUGGGCUGACACUGACGCUCAGGCACGAAAGCGUGGGGAGCAAACAGG